rnacentral:rRNA from 1 species
UACGUAGGGUGCAAGCGUUAAUCGGAAUUACUGGGCGUAAAGCGUGCGCAGGCGGUUCGCUAAGACAGAUGUGAAAUCCCCCGGGCUUAACCUGGGAACUGCAUUUGUGACUGGCGGGCUAGAGUAUGGCAGAGGGGGGUAGGAAUUCCACGUGUAGCAGUGAAAUGCGUAGAGAUGUGGAGGAAUACCAAUGGCGAAGGCAGCCCCCUGGGCCAAUACUGACGCUCAUGCACGAAAGCGUGGGGAGCAAACAGG